rfam:Pantoea stewartii subsp. stewartii DC283 WGS_Sequence03, whole genome shotgun sequence.
AUUAACAACGAUAACAAGGGCGGCGCUGUCGCCCUCUCGAUUGCUGAAACCGCGGCGUGGACAGACCGCCUGAUCGGGUCGUUCCCCUGACUCAGGCGCAUUAAGCCGUUCAUCAAUCUUCAGGGUAGCUCUGCUACCCUUUUUUACCGGAGUUCG